rnacentral:rRNA from 1 species
GAUGAACGCUGGCGGCGUGCCUAAUACAUGCAAGUCGAGCGAACAGAUGAGGAGCUUGCUCCUCUGACGUUAGCGGCGGACGGGUGAGUAACACGUGGAUAACCUACCUAUAAGACUGGGAUAACUUCGGGAAACCGGAGCUAAUACCGGAUAAUAUAUUGAACCGCAUGGUUCAAUAGUGAAAGACGGUUUUGCUGUCACUUAUAGAUGGAUCCGCGCCGCAUUAGCUAGUUGGUAAGGUAACGGCUUACCAAGGCAACGAUGCGUAGCCGACCUGAGAGGGUGAUCGGCCACACUGGAACUGAGACACGGUCCAGACUCCUACGGGAGGCAGCAGUAGGGAAUCUUCCGCAAUGGGCGAAAGCCUGACGGAGCAACGCCGCGUGAGUGAUGAAGGUCUUCGGAUCGUAAAACUCUGUUAUUAGGGAAGAACAAAUGUGUAAGUAACUAUGCACGUCUUGACGGUACCUAAUCAGAAAGCCACGACUAACUACGUG